GCAUCUGUCGUAGUUUGGGAAUUACGUCUGGCUUCCAAGCUGAUGAUGCGGGUUCGAUUCCCGCUGCCCGCU
rnacentral:tRNA from 1 species